GUUCCCUCGGACCCUCUAGAGAAGAGUUUUCCCCUUCGGGGGACAGAGUGACAGGUGGUGCAUGGUUGUCGUCAGCUCGUGUCGUGAGAUGUUGGGUUAAGUCCCGCAACGAGCGCAACCCUUAAGCUUAGUUGCCAUCAUUAAGUUGGGCACUCUAAGUUGACUGCCGGUGACAAACCGGAGGAAGGUGGGGAUGACGUCAAAUCAUCAUGCCCCUUAUGAUUUGGGCUACACACGUGCUACAAUGGACAAUACAAAGGGUAGCGAAACCGCGAGGUCAAGCAAAUCCCAUAAAGUUGUUCUCAGUUCGGAUUGUAGUCUGCAACUCGACUAUAUGAAGCUGGAAUCGCUAGUAAUCGUAGAUCAGCAUGCUACGGUGAAUACGUUCCCGGGUCUUGUACACACCGA
rnacentral:rRNA from 1 species